ACCUGGGUGGCUCAGUUGGUUGAGCGCCUGACUUCGGUUCAGGUCAUGAUCUCACAAUAGGUGGGUUUGAGCCCCGCAUCGGGCU
rnacentral:tRNA from 1 species